rnacentral:rRNA from 1 species
AUUGAACGCUGGCGGCAGGCCUAACACAUGCAAGUCGAACGAGUGGCGGACGGGUGAGUAAUGUCUGGGAAACUGCCUGAUGGAGGGGGAUAACUACUGGAAACGGUAGCUAAUACCGCAUACCCUCGGAUGUGCCCAGAUGGGAUUAGCUAGUAGGUGGGGUAAAGGCUCACCUAGGCGCAGAUCCCUAGCUGGUCUGAGAGGAUGACCAGCCACACUGGAACUGAGACACGGUCCAGACGCCUCAGGUAGGCAUCAGUGGGGAAUAUUGCACAAUGGGCGCAAUCCUGAUGCAGCCAUGCCGCGUGUAUGAAGAAUGCCUUCGGGUUGUAAAGUACUUUCAGCGGGGAGGCGUUACCCGCAGAAGAAGCACCGGCUAACUCCGUGCCAGCAGCCGCGGUAAUUC